UAGGGAAUCUUCCGCAAUGGACGCAAGUCUGACGGAGCAACGCCGCGUGAGUGAAGAAGGAUUUCGGUUCGUAAAACUCUGUUGUUAGAGAAGAACAGCGCAUAGAGUAACUGUUAUGCGUGUGACGGUAUCUAACCAGAAAGCCACGGCUAACUACGUGCCAGCAGCCGCGGUAAUACGUAGGUGGCAAGCGUUGUCCGGAUUUAUUGGGCGUAAAGCGAGCGCAGGCGGUCAAUUAAGUCUGAUGUGAAAGCCCCCGGCUCAACCGGGGAGGGUCAUUGGAAACUGGUUGACUUGAGUGCAGAAGAGGAGAGUGGAAUUCCAUGGGUAACGGUGAAAUGCGUAGAUAUAUGGAGGAACACCAGUGGCGAAGGCGACUCUCUGGUCUGUAACUGACGCUGAGGCUCGAAAGCGUGGGUAGCAAACAGG
rnacentral:rRNA from 1 species